UACAGAGGUCCCGAGCGUUGUUCGGAUUCAUUGGGCGUAAAGGGUGCGUAGGCGGCGGGGCAAGUCUGAUGUGAAAUCCCGGGGCUCAACCCCGGAACUGCAUUGGAUACUGCCUUGCUAGAGUACUGGAGAGGAGACUGGAAUUUACGGUGUAGCAGUGAAAUGCGUAGAUAUCGUAAGGAAGGCCAGUGGCGAAGGCGAGUCUCUGGACAGUUACUGACGCUGAGGCACGAAGGCCAGGGGAGCAAACGGG
rnacentral:rRNA from 1 species